GGGCGGAGGGGGGCGGUGGGUGGAGGCCGCUGCGCGGUUUGGGUUGCGGAGGGUGGAGGCCGCUGCUCGGUGCGGGUGGUGCAGGGUGGAGGGCGCCGCGCGGCGCGGGUGGUGAGGGUGGAGGCCGGUGCGCGGCGCGGGUGGUGGAGGGUGGAGGCCGUUGCGCGGCGCGGGUGGUGGAGGGUUGAGGCCGCUGCGCGGUGCUGGUGGUGUGGUACGGAGGAGGGAGCACGGUGGGCGGCGGGGAUUUGAGGCGGAGGAGAGAGCGCGGUGGGGUGACGGGGGGGAAUCGCACCGGCGGGGAGGUGCCUCGGUUCGAGCGCACGGCGGGGGGAGGGUGGCGCGGCUCGAGCGUUCGGUGGCGGCGGCCGCUGGGGUUGGCCGGCGGGGAGCAGUCAAGCACACAAGGUAGGCGUGGUUUUAGCGGCAGGUGGCGAAGGGCCCCUAGGGACACGCGGCGGCGGGUGGUCUUGCUACGAAGGUCGUAAGCACAAGAGGUUUUCAGUUGUGCUGUAUCGACGAAGGAGGCCGUUGUGGAGGAUGGCCGCGGCCGCCAGUCUAGGGGUUUCGAGGGGAAGGGAGAGCUAGAGUGAAGGGACGACGACCUUUAAAUCACCAAGUUGAAGGAGAUUUUAAAGACUCCAAUGGAACAAUCAUCAAGUGGAAACGAUUUAAGACAUCAGGUGGUAACGAUUUUUAGUAGAAUACUAAAAACCUGUUACAAAACACGCUAAGUAAACAAGUAGAAGUCUUGAACCUCUAUAAUUCAGAUGAAAAAAGAUACUACUUCCAUGUUUACUCGAGGUAGAAGUUACCAAUAGGGGGAUCACGAAGUUUCUACGGAUAAAACAAAAGGGGUACCGCGUCGCUCCUACUAUCACAACUGUGAAUGUUUUAACAAAAGACACAACGAUACAACAGUCAGGUUUCACACCACUUCUACGUCGGGACCCACACAUCUACUACGCCACACACAGACCAACACACACACACGUACUACUAACCAUCGACAACACACACACGUCACAUGCAGACUACUAUCGCUCAUCCGCCGUUCACAUGAUCACUCGUCGAUGACUUGACUAAGAUUGUGACGUUGUAAUUAGGUGAGACGGAGGAGGCUACUCAAGAAGUCAGGUUCAAGAGGGUGCUAAGGCAGAGACCAAAACAAAGGGAAUUGUAACCAUUCUAUUUUCUAGUAAGUUGAAGUUUAGACAAACCUGACUAUCAAGUUGAAGAAAGCAUGUUUUCCAAGUUUUUCAAAACAUGGACUUUUACGUGUAUAAACCUCACGCACUUAUAUAAAUCUGAAGAUGUUUGGGGUUUUGAUACGUCUCAAUCCUAACAAUGAUGGAACAAAGAAUGAUAGCUAAGUAAAAAAUACUCUUCCAUAAUUCAACCAUGUACAUCAACCUGUAGAGUUAUAUGACAUUACACAAAAAAACGUAUCAUGGAACUUUAAUACAAUCGUUAAGACUUAAUGCUAACACGAACUUUGACUUUUACUAAGACAUUGAAGAGUUUGGAGCACCUGAACUACGAAUUUUAUGAAGGUCUUGCUUAACUAAGAACAAGAAAGUACUAGUCAAGUCGUUUAUUAAAAAAUCAAGUAAGGUUAAAGUUUAAGAGUAAAAUCAAAUCAGUUUCAAAGAAUAAAAACAAGUCAUGUCAUAGGUUCAAAUAAAUUCAAGUUAAGAAUAAAAUCAAAAUCAAGUAAAGUUAAGAAUAAAAUCAUUUAGACAUCAGAUACCUAAAAUAAACCGGAUCUAACGAUCUACAUGAUUGAACAACACGGUUCCGUUAGAUUUUGUAAUUCACAACGAUGAUAUUAAGCAAGUAACAAAGUGCGGAGGGGCGUCUGCGCGCGGGGGUGGAGGGACGGCUGCGGAUGUUUAAUCUCAAGUGAUUUUUUACACGAACUUUAAAGUUAAAAAUGCUUGGUUUAUUAAAGAAUAAAUGUCUAGAUUUAGCACGCUGAAGAGGUUGAUCGAAUACAACAAAGACUGUAACGAGAUUUGGUAAAGAGUCAUUAUAAAACAUGCAUCGUUACCUGAACCUUCCUAAAGUCAGGUAGUGCGAUCAACAGUUUUUCCACAACAAACGAAAACUUACAUAUACUACUGAACUAAUGGAUCCUUAAAUUUGUACCAUUGACAAACGUCUUAUUAUAAAACAUAUAUCCAUGACAGUAAAGAUGCUUGUCGGUCAAGGUAAUAUGGACAACAAGCGGUAGCUGCCACGACGGUAAACUCAAAUACCGAGACAGGUACCUCCGAAGGAUCUUCAAAGAGACAAAGGUACAUACCACAAGGUACUGUCUCCGGCACUGUGCACUACAAGGAACCAAUCCUAACCAAAUGAAACCUAGAGUAUCAUCCUCCUGUCCGUGCUGCACGUAAGUCAGAGUCUUGGACUUUGAUUGGACUGACUCCACCGUAAGUCAAAAGUCACUAAUUAGAGGUAAAUAAACGAUCAUCAAAGUGGACGAAAAAACUUAAUUUUUCUUGUUUUGAAUUGAUCAAACUGGUGACACACUGGCGUUCCGUAUUCCUUCCUUCCCGGUGGCAGGCUCCGCUGCGCAUGUAUACAUGUGGGCCCUAAAUCCUGUUCUGUGUUGUGGGCGACGCCGCAUGCAUCAUGUGACUCCUGAGGGAGCAGUGACCGUUUCUGUUCUUUUGAUCGUCGCAGGAAUCGGUCCAGACUAUGUAUAUCUCAGAAUAUAAUAAACUAAACUAGUAUCAUGUACAUCGGAGACGGAUACAUCAUACAUUGCUUGCUCUACUGUUCGUAGUUGUACAUCAUAUACACUCACUCUCCUUGUGUUGAUGAAGUCAUACCGAUCGGAUUCACCACACUUGACUUUUGGUUAGGAGUUGUGUAGACCAAGAAAGAAAACACUCUCUACUAAAGGAGGGCUAAAGACCUUGAGUGUUGGUACCAAUAUUAUAUCACAAACCAGUAGGAAUCGUCCAUCCACAUUUGUUGUAUCUGCGAAUGUUGGUUUCGAUCGGCUGCCGCGUAUUCGAUGGACGUUUUCUCUUCGGGAAGAAUGUAGGUGUUGUAGGAUUAAAAAUAAGUCAAGUUAAAGGUUAAAAUCAAGUCAACUAAGAAUAAAAAUCAAAUCAGUCAAAGAAUAAAAUAAAAGGAAAUUAAAGAUUAAGAAAAAGUCAAGUCAAAGAUUAAAAUGAUUUCAAGUUAAAGAUUAAGGUUUGUUAAACAUGUUUAAGGGUAGCUCGUCCACAAGUGCCACUCGCCGAUGACUUGAACAUGCCGACGACGAAAACCUGACGGGUCCUUCGUGUAGUAAUAUCUUCCGUUUUAGACAUUGGAUAUAUUAAGUACAAACAAGACUGGAGAACAAGGAGAUUUCGUCGGUUUAUGGCCACGUGGAUCAUCAAGUUUUAAUGUGGUCUACCGGCCACUGGGGGAGAUGAUCGAGGAGCCCCUACAGAACCAUCAUCGAUCCUAGGGGAUGUUGUCGGUUUAGGACCACGUGGGUCGGUGGCGAGCACUAGGGGAGAAGAAGUCGAGGUUAAGCGACACGGCGGUCAGACGUCCUCAUCCCUGCAACACGGGUAGUUGUUUUUCCUUUGUUUUCCAGUAGCUUCGUCGCCGGCGGUCGAGAGGGCACACUUCGUUGUUGACUACAACAAGAGAAAGAGUAUGUACGCGCACACGUCGUCGUUCGUACUGAGUGAGUGAUAUAGUAAACGCGUACCCUGUAGAGAGCUACACUAAACCAACCUGCCCUUCCCUCUACGUUGUCCCUGUCAUGUCCAACCGACUACUUCUUGGACGAAAACAGAACGAGAUAUUACCAGAGACUAGGUUACAUAAAUUAAAGAGAUACCACAUCGAACGAUAUUUUCUACUUUAUAUUCUUCAGUAACACGUUUUUGAACAACCUAGGCACAUUCCACUUGCUCU
rnacentral:rRNA from 1 species